rnacentral:lncRNA from 1 species
CACACCACUGCACUCCAGCCUGGGUGACAUAGCAAGACUCCAUCUCAAAAAAUAGUAAUAAUGAUUACCAAAUGCAAAUAUAAGUCCACUGAGCUAGUGCUGCAUGGAGAUCAUAAGAGUGAGCCUGGAGCCAGGCUUCUGGGGUUCAAAGCCCAGUUUUAUCCCCUGCUAUGUCAGUGAACUUGGACACUGUUCUUAGCUUCUCUGAGCUGCAGUUUUCUGAAAUUUAUGUAAUAGUAACAGCAGUCACCUUACAGGAGCAUAGUGAAGCUUUAAGGAGUCAAUGCCUAGGUUAGUCUCCUAGGGUUGUCGUAACAAAGUGCUGUUAACAGCAUGGCGUAAACAACAGAAUUGUGUUCUCCUGCAGUUCUGGAGGCUAGAAGUCUGAGGUCUAGGUGUUAGCAGGGUUGGCUUCUGAGGGUUGUGAAGGAAGGAUCUGUUCCAUUCCUCUCUCCUAGCUUCCGGUAGCCUUGGGUUGCAGAUGGCAUUCUUUCUGUCUCUUCACAUCAUCUUCCCUCUGUGCACAUCUGUCUCUGUGUGCAAAUCCCCCCGUUUUAAAAGGACACCAGUCAUUUUGGAUUAGAGUCCACCUUAAUGGCCUCAUCUCAACUAGAUUACUUCUGAAGACUUCAUAUCCAAAUAAGGUCACAUUCUGAGAUAUUUGGGGUUAGUCCAUUGCAUCUUUUUUUGUGGGGAUACAAUUCAACCCAUGACAAUGCCUAGGAGUGCCAAAAAUAUGGCACAUGGUGCAUUAACUAAAUAUGGAUAAUAAGUAUUAGGUCAAACCCUAUAGAAUAUAGAUAUUUGACUAUUUUACCUACAAAAUGGUAAUAUAACAUGAUUUAGCAUAUUUUUUCUUUGCUUUUUUUUCAACAAUCUCUGUCUGGGUGCUCAUCGUUCCUGACACAACUCGACAUUUUCUGGGCAGCCCCCGUGAGACAGGUUGUGGUGCAGGCAGGAGAAGGGUGGCUGUGCUGAUUCACUCUGCCUCUCCAGUUCUGACCAAUCUUCUAUUUCAACUCUGGGAUUCUUUCUUUAAUCUUCAUCUUCUGAAUGAUGUAGCUUUACUGUGAAACUGUCCAAGUGUAAUUAUCAGGCCUGUCAUUGGUAAGGAACCCUUCCCAAGGCUCUGGGAGAGGCCCCAGACAUGUAUUGACAUGUUAAUAUUUGAUUUUUAAAACUUUCACAAAGAAGACAUUUUAAACUUCAGUCAAUUAAGGCCACGAUGUCUUUGCACUCCAACUUCUCUUCCUUCUCCUCCUCUUGGGCUGUAUUGGAGCCGCCGUGGACAAUUUUGAGAUGACCCAAGGAGAAGAUGAGAUGGGCGUAUGUUUGCUGCAAGUGGAGUGGAAUACACUUCUGUGAUUUGCAGUCCCUUCCAUGUAUAAUGGAGUAUUGCUGGCUGUGCAAGUGGAGAAACAACUGGGAAUGCCAACUUGAGGAGCGUCUGGUGGACACCAUCUUGAAUCCAGCACUCUCUCCAUCCCCAGCCAGAAGUGUGUGUUGGUGGUGGGGGAGAGACAAGUUAGAAACAAGGGUGGACUACACGUUCCACCUCAUGCCUGUACCACAAGAGACAACAAAAUUACACAGUUCUGAAUAAGAUGAACUGUUAAGUUCCAUUGCAUCAGGGAUGUUCAAAGAAAUGGAAACAACUCCAGGCAUUUCAAGAAGGAAGGAA